CCACGGCUCAGGAAGUCAGUAUUUAUCGGCUGUCACUUCAUUAACCUCAUACGAGAGAUAAUGAUAUGUUGUAAGAACGUCAAGGUAGCGUUCAAGUUUGAUUUGAGUGAAUAUGACACCAGCGUCUGGCCUUGGUUUGGCAUGUACCUUGCCAGAAUCAAACACCUUAGAAGGUCAGGACACAUGUACCACAAAGAGCCAACAGUUUCAGAGGAACAGCAACAGAAUAAAGAUCAAGGAUGUGAGAAUCACUAGGGAAUUGCCGAGGUGUCCAAACCAACAGCAAUGUUUCCUGUGGUGUCAGAGGAUUUCAUGCAUCAUAAAUUAAGGACAAGACGAGGACGCCAUCGUGAGGAGGUGCUGUCAGACACAGAGAAGACGGAGCUGAUGUCAAUAUAAACAGAGGGACAAUGUAUCUGCUGGGAUCUGUGUUUAAAUCUGUUGAUGCCCAUCCUCAUCUGCAAACUCUACACAAUGAAAGACAAGGUCCAGUUGGUGACGUGCAAUGUGAAAUACAGUCAGUCUGGUGUGUGAAAAGCAAUGGCACCGGUGCUCCAUAAUUAAGCCUCAGCAGAGCCUCCCAGCAGGGGUCUGGAAUGUGCGGUACAGCGUGUCCUCGGUGCUGGGAGAACGUGUGGCGGCCGGAUAGAUGUGCGUCUUUGCUCCUUCUUGAGCCUCAAUUGUCUCAGGCAGCGUGAAGGUUAAACGGGGGUUUGAUGGAGCCGUCCACAUGGGCUGUUUUGGUGUGGAUGACAGGAGGACAAGCGGAGUGCAUCUGCCCUCCGGGGCAAGAGAAUGCCGGCUGAAUGGAGAGCAGAACAUAACCAGUGCGUUGCCAAGGUAACGUGGAACAGAACACCGCGGUGAGA